UUUUUUUCCCUUUAUUUAUUGUUUUUGAAAGAAAUCAGCAAUCAAUAAAUAAACAAAAUUAAAAAGAAAUGAGCGCUUCGAGGUUUAUCAAGUGCGUCACUGUUGGUGAUGGUGCCGUUGGUAAAACUUGCCUCUUGAUAUCUUACACCAGCAACACCUUCCCUACGGUAACUCUCUUUCUCUUAGUGUUGUUAUUAGUAUUAUUAUGGAUUUUAUGGAGAACAUGGAAUUUAUGGUCGAUUGUGCAAUUGGGGUAAUAUCAGUGCCCAUUUUGAUUGAUAAAGGGCCUUGGUUGAUUUGGAAAUGCUUGAUAUAUGAUUUUAAAGGACAUGGGUUUUUAUGCUUUUUAAAUAAGAAGGUUAAUUCAUUGAUGGAAUUUGAAUUUUGCUGAUCUGUAUUCAAAUUUUAUAUUAAUUUUUGAUUUUUGAAUACAAAAUGGCUUAGUUGUAAAGCAUUCCCGCCAGCCACUUGCCACCUUUUCUUCUUUUUCUACGGCUUCAGCUUUUGUUUUGUUUGCUCAUAAUUGGGAUGAGAUUAAGAACAUGGCAUUUGUUGUCGGAUUUGUGUAAUUAAUGCUAAGCAUUAGACGAUCUUGUUUCUACAAAGCUUUUGAAGUGAAAACUUUGAAAUAUAAUGCCAUUGGUUUAAUUCUAUUUGCAUUCUGUGUUGAACAGGAUUAUGUGCCAACUGUUUUCGACAAUUUCAGUGCAAAUGUGGUCGUCAAUGGGAGCACUGUUAACCUGGGUUUGUGGGAUACUGCUGGGCAAGAGGAUUACAAUAGAUUAAGACCUCUAAGUUACCGUGGAGCUGAUGUUUUCAUACUGGCAUUCUCUCUCAUUAGCAAGGCCAGU
rnacentral:misc_RNA from 1 species